rnacentral:rRNA from 1 species
UACGUAGGGUGCAAGCGUUGUCCGGAAUUAUUGGGCGUAAAGAGCUCGUAGGCGGUCUGUCGCGUCGGAUGUGAAAAUCCAGGGCUCAACCCUGGACCUGCAUUCGAUACGGGCAGACUAGAGUUCGGCAGGGGAGACUGGAAUCCCUGGUGUAGCGGUGAAAUGCGCAGAUAUCAGGAGGAACACCGGUGGCGAAGGCGGGUCUCUGGGCCGAUACUGACGCUGAGGAGCGAAAGCGUGGGGAGCGAACAGG